rnacentral:rRNA from 1 species
CAGCUCUCCGAGUAGUGUGGACGUUUAUUGGGCCUAAAGCAUCCGCAGCUUGCUAGAUAAGUCCUCUGUUAAAUCCACCGAUUCAAUCGUUGGAUUGCGGGGGAUACUGUUUGGCUAGGGGACGGGAGAGGUCGACGGUAUUUCCGGGGUAGGGGUGAAAUCCUAUAAUCCCGGGAGGACCACCAGUGGCGAAGGCUGUCGACUAGAACGCGCCCGACGGUGAGGGAUGAAAGCUGGGGGAGCGAACCGGAUUAGAUACCCGCGUAGUCC